GCCGGGUGCAGUGGCGCAAGCCUGUAAUCCUAGCAGCUCAGGAGGCUGAGGCAGGAGGAUUGCAAGUUCACAGCCAGCCUCAGCAACUUAGUGAGGCCUUAAGCAAGAUCCUUAUCGAGACCCUGUCUCUA
rnacentral:sRNA from 1 species